rnacentral:rRNA from 1 species
AAUGGGGGAAACCCUGACGCAGCCACGCCACGUGAGUGAGGAAGGCCUUCGGGUUGUAAAGCUCUGUCAGUAGGGAAAAAUGCUCGCAAGAGAGUUGAUGGUACCUACAAAGGAAGCACCAGCUAACUUCGUGCCAGCAGCCGCGGUAAUACGAAGGGUGCAAGCGUUGUUCGGAUUUAUUGGGCGUAAAGCGUACGUAGGCGGUUUUGUAAGUCAGGUGUGAAAUCUUGGGGCUCAACCCCGAAACUGCGCCUGAAACUACAUAACUAGAAUCUUGGAGGGGAAGGUAGAAUUUCGCAUGUAGGGGCAAAAUCCGUAGAGAUGCGAAGGAACACCAGAGGCGAAGGCGACCUUCUGGACAAGUAUUGACGCUGAGGUACGAAAGCGUGGGGAGCAAACAGGAUU